UCAUAUGUUCGAAUUCUAUUUUUGCAGUUGAUAAUUGCUUUUAAAAGUGUGUUAAUAAAAUGUAAUUUACGUACACCUGUUAUUUGCCGUUAACAUAAAAAUAUUAGCACCAGUUGUUUGCAAAAAGGGUAGUCAAUCACAAUUGAGGGCCACAAAAGGGAGAAUACAAUACGUUUCUAAUUGGUGUUACUCUUGUUAAAUAGAUUUUGUUCUAUUGUAUUUUAUUGUGUUGCAUUGCAUUGUAUUGUAUUGAGAAAAUAAUUAUGAGUUAUAACAAAAUUUACUCUUAAUUUGGAAAUUGUGAUCUGCUAAUUUCAAUUGUGAGUUUGUUUGUCCUGUAUUUUGAUAUGACAAAGUCCAAUUACAAUAUUGCAUUCUUGCAAGCCCUUGCAGAAACCUCACUGCGCCGAGAAAUGGCGUAAUUAUAAAGUAUGGAUACAAACAUAAAGAAACUCUUACCUUCGGAUGCAAUCAAGGAUUUCAAAUGGUUGGUACACCAGAUAGAAUAUGUAAUUUUGCAGUAUGGAGUGAUUCCAGAAUACCUCGUUGUGAAUGUAAAUUAAACAUUUAAUUUGAUCUAAUAUGUACUCUGGAACAGUAUUUCAAAUGAUCAAAUUCUACGACAAUAUGUAGUAGCUGUUGUUGUCGUUGUCGCUAUGGUUGUCGCUGUUACAUUAUUUUU